rnacentral:rRNA from 1 species
GACGAGGGACCCUAGCGUUGUUCGGAAUCAUUGGGCGUAAAGCGGGUGUAGGUGGCUUUGUAAGUCAGGUGUGAAAGCCCCUGGGCUCAACCCAGGAAGUGCAUUUGAUACUGCGAAGCUUGAGUGCCGGAGAGGUUACUGGAAUACCUGGUGUAGUGGUGAAAUACGUAGAUAUCAGGUGGAACACCGGAGGCGAAAGCGGGUAACUGGCCGGACACUGACACUCAGACCCGAAAGCGUGGGAAUCAAACAGG